AAGCCUGCCAGGAGCCGGGGUGGCACGCACGGUUCAGACUCCUGCUCCGCAGACCGAACCCGGGACGUGUUCGUCGGUCGGAGCAGGGCUCUUUACGUGCUCACCUGCGUGGCGAGUGCUCACCUAUGAACCCACCUGUGUGUGCUCGCGCGCACAUUGCGUGAAACUCACCUGAGCGCGCUCGCCCGUGUGCGCGCGUUCGCUUGCGCGGUGCGAGCGCUCACCUGUGCGGUGCAUCAUCUGGAUGGAGAUGGUGUGGGAGCGGCUGGUGAGGAAGCCGCGGGUGUCCACCAUCUGGUGGUGGAACUUCUCAUUCCAGCGGCCUGCGCACGCACACAACGCGGCCCGUGCAGGACCGCGAGAGAUGGCAGCAACUCAUGGCGAAGGCCUUCAUCCAGCAGCGGAUUGGUCACGGCUGCCGGCGACGAAUGGCGACCACUGUGCGCGAGUUCACCAUCGGUGCGUGACGUCAUUUAUGGACGGCCCCAAAGUGAUGCAAGUUCCUCGGAGAUUGCAUCCACAUGCAAGGCGCCAAGAGCAUUCAUGAAUCUUGUGCAGUACUCACACACAGAGACUCGGGCACGUUUGCCGUGAUGCAAUCGAUAUGCAACGCAGAGGUCGACUAUUCGAGUUGCCUAUUCGAUCUCCAGGCGCGGCAGCUGAGACAAAGUGAUGGGGGCAGUUUCUUAAAAAUGUAUUCUAGAUUUGAAGCUUUCGUGACUGCAAGGAUUCAUACUGUUAGGUUUCUUCCGUAAAGUCACGUAGGUAAAAAAAUAAAAUUAAAAGUUAAUAAAAGUAAUAAUGGAAAUAAAAUAAAAAUAUAAUAAUAAAUCACGACGUUUCGGAGGCAACACAAGUCUCCGUCAUCAGGUGGGACCGUCACAGCUAAAUUUACUGCAUCAAGAUAUGUCCAACCCAGCAGUGUGAAUGGGUUCCACCACGGUUAGUCGACAUCUCUCUCCCACCUCGUCAAGCCAGCCCGGAAUUAGUCGGACAACAUACCGUGUUUAGAGGGAAUUGACCAGUGAAAGUCCCUCUUCUGUCGGUAGUUUCGUGGGGGAGCAAUUGGGGAGGGCUUUUGCGCCUUUGGCGUUUGACAAAGAGAGUCAAGCAAUCGUCUUCAGGCGAGAGAAGACGAUCGCGUGUGUUGCGAUCGAAACGUCGCCAUCUAUUAUUUUUUCUGCUUCUUGGUUCUUUCGGUAAAGUCACGUAGAAGGGAAAUAAAAAAAUAAUAAAAAUAAAACAUCAUAAAAUAAUGCUCACGACGUUGCGGCCACAGAAUUAUUUUAUUAUUUCCCUUCUACGUGAUUUCACCGAAAGACCCAAGAGUAUGAAUUCCUGCUUUAAAUCAAGAUACAAAAGAGGCUCGUUCACCUGCGAGCCAUCUCACGCCUACCCAACCCGUCCGACGAGAGACGCUCAUCUUAUCUCCGUAGUCAAGGAACGCAAUGCCCAGCCUCCCUUAACGCUACACGGCUCCUGUG